rfam:Canis lupus familiaris chromosome 16, whole genome shotgun sequence.
AGGAGGAACAACCGCAGUGGCGGGGGGGCAGCUCUGGAGCCCUGGAUUCAGCCCCCACAGGAACUCCGGAGCUCUCCGUCUGCAGGGCCUGGAGGCUCCGGGCGGGG